CUGAGAGUGAUGGAGAGUAAACUGUUCUCAGAGUCUAAAUCACCUCAAACUCGAACCCGUCUCUGAGGGUUUCAGGUCACUUCUCUGAGGGUCAGAGUUCAGGUCCAUCAGGGUCCGUUAAAGCCGGUUCUGCAGACCUGAAGGUCCAUGAUCAGUCACUGAUGAAGCGUCUUCAAGUAAACGAUGCUGAUUCAUUUUCAGUCAAAAGUUAAAGUUAAACCUGAGGUUCAACCAGGAACACGGUUGCCAAGCAACAGCAUCAUGGACGCCAAAGAUCCUCCAAAUCAUCAUUAAAAAUGAGGACACAAGGGGCUCACUGAAGGACACUGCCUCUAGUGGACUCUGGAGGAAGUGCAUGUUUGAGGACUUCUACAUCUCUAUGAAUGUUUGUUAAAGUUCAUCCUAACAAGAGAAAAACGCUUACAGCUGCUUUAAUCUGAGGAAACGAUCAGGUCAGUUAGUAGCUCUUAAAUCAGCCCUCAGCUCAGUGAGAAUAUCAAACAGACUCAAGAAUGACCUCACACUGACUGUCCACCAUCUGCACACUAACAUCUGUAUUAAAUCUAUGUGUCCUGUGAGUGUGAUGCAGGACUUAAGGUGGAGCAGUGUUCCUAUGGAGAGUCCUGCAGAGACAACAGCAGGUCUACAUGAGGACCUCCCUCAGACCUGUGUUUGUGUCUCAUCAGCAGAGUUUCAGAUCCCUGUCCUUCAGAGAAGCUCCUCACCGAGGGUCUGACAUUUAACUGGAGGACUCUUCAUCCCUCUCCCUCUUCAGUGGAGUCCUCUCAGGCCGUCAGGAGGCUUUGAGAUCCUGCUCUCAGCCCCUCACUCCCUCUUCCUCUCUCUGGGGAAUAAGCCGGGGGACAGUCCACACUAACGACCACGCUGCCUCUCCUUAAAGACACACUCAGUAAUUGCCGCCACUAUAAGAGCCUCAUCGGGGUCAGGAGAUCGCUAAUUUUAAUGACAACUUCUCUCCCCUGCAGGCCGACUCUGUCUGUG